rnacentral:rRNA from 1 species
ACUUUCAACGGUGGAUCUCUUGGCUCGUGCAUCGAUGAAGAACGUGGCAAGACGCGAAAUGUAGUGUGAAUUGCAGAAUUCCGUGAAUCAUUGAAUCUUCGAACGCACAUUGCGCCUGUGUGUGUGGGCAUGCGCCAUUGUGUGCGUGUCUGUGCGUGCGGGCAUGUCUGCCUGAGUGUCGCCACUCAAUCUCAUUGACAAUGCGCUUUUGUGUGCUUAUGAGGGUGUGAGUGUAUGUGUGUGGGUGUAUUUGAUUACUGAACUAUGCAGCAGCAGCAGCGCACCUUUGUUGGUGUGGUGUUUGUUUGUUGCGUAGCAGUAUGAAGAAAUGCCCAUGCAUGCAUGCACUCGUAUCUCAUUUGCACACUGUGCAUUGUUAGUGGCCAUGGGGUGUUAGUCGAUGCGUGCACACACACAUUUUUGCUGUGUGUUUGUAUUGUGUGAGACUGGACCCUGAAGAGGAGAGCUUACGACUCCAUUGCGAUGAUAAUUGUGAUGGUGACUGUGAUGAAGAAGGAGUGGGUGUUUGUGUGUGUGAGCAUGUGGAUUGCAUUGCACGAUGAUACGAUGCCUUGUGCGUUGUGUUGUCGUUGUUGAUGUGAUUCACACACAUACACGCAUCCCACUUCUCUAUUCUCAUACUGUUGUCAUCACUCACUGUCGCCGUGUGGGUGCCGUUGUUGCGAGACCACGGCAAGCACACGCAUGCUGUUUCUGCAUAUGCAGCAGGAUACAACAAGCUGUGGAGCGAUGUGUCAACUGACAUCGUUGUUCUGCAGCGUGUGUAUGCUGUGUGUGUGUGCAGAGGCAUGUGCACUUGUGUGCUUGCAUCUUUAUGUGGCUUUUGUGACACUGGUCAUGUGAGCAAAACACUGUGAUGAAGAAGAGAGGGAAGUAUGGGCGAGAGAAGCUGGAAUAGUGAUGGACGGAGCACUGUUUGUUUGUGUGCACUGCACUGCACUUGUUGCAGUGUAUGCGCACAAACGACUGUAUCCAUCCAUUGCUCCACUCCACUUCAUUUCUCUCUCAAACCCCUUCCCCCUCUACUCAUUUCUCAUUGUUGACCUCAGGUCAGGCAAGGGUACCCCCUGAACUUAAGCAUAUCACUAAGGGGAGGAAGAGAAACUAACAAGGAUUCCUCAGUAACGGCGAGUGAAGCGGGAAGAGCUCAAGCAUUGGAAUCUCCACAAGCUUCUUUUUAUUGUGGCGAGUUGUAGUCUUUAUGGGAUGCGGGCCGUCGCAUGUCUUUGUGAUGGUGCAUGUUGUUCGCAAUGUGCAUUGUUGUUUGGCGCAGCACCGAGUUUCCUUGGAAGAGGACACCGGAGUAGGGUGAGAGUCCCGUUGGUGCUACAUUAUUUGCGCUGAUGUGCGGUGUGUGGUCCGUUUAUUCUCUUGAGUCGGGUUGUUUGGGAAUGCAGCCCAAAGCCGGGUGGUAAACUGCAUCCAAGGCUAAAUACUGGCACGAGACCGAUAGCGAACAAGUACCGUGAGGGAAAGAUGAAAAGCACUUUGAAAAGAGAGUUAAACAGUACGUGAAACCGUUGACAGAGAAUCGCUUGCAGCUAGCAGAGACUGGGCGCGCCUUGUGAUCAGGGCUUUUGGUGUGGUGUGUGAUGAUGUUGCGGGGGGUGUUUUGUGUGCACUUGUUGCACAUAUGCGCCGCUGCGUUGCUGUUGUUGUGUGCUGCGCUGCCUGCACUCGCGGGGCGUGUCUGCCAGCAUGAGUUUUGUGUGUGAGAGACGGCGAUGCGAGGGCGCCCUUGUGCGUGGCGCAUCUGCUUUUUAUGUUUCUGUCGCACGCGGGACUGAGGAAAUUAUCGAUGCGGUGGCUUUGUUAUGUGGUCUUUGGCAUGGGUGCUGUUUUCGGCAUUGUGUUGCGCAGACUCUUGUUUUGGGAUGGGAGACUCGUUCUCUUGUGCUGUUGACAGAGUGUGUGCGGGCAGUGUUGGGAAUGUUGCGCUUGCCGCUUGGCGCACACCACCGGGGAGAUGCUGGCGACAGGGCUGCAAACGGCCCGUCUUGAAACACGGACCAAGGAGUCUAACAUGUGCGCGAGUGUUUUAGCGAGCAUGAAGCUAGGGCGCGCAAUGAAAGUGAGAGGUGGGAUGCAGUGUUAUUGUUGUGCGUCUCGGCGUGCAAUCAGCAGCACUCGCAGCACCAUCGACCGAUC